UACGGAGGGUGCGAGCGUUAAUCGGAAUUACUGGGCGUAAAGGGUGCGUAGGUGGUUUAGUAAGUUAUCUGUGAAAUUCCUGGGCUUAACCUGGGCAGGUCAGAUAAGACUGUUAGACUUGAGUAUGGGAGAGGGUAGUGGAAUUUCCGGUGUAGCGGUGAAAUGCGUAGAUAUCGGAAGGAACACCGGUGGCGAAGGCGGCUACCUGGCCUAAUACUGACACUGAGGCACGAAAGCGUGGGGAGCAAACAGG
rnacentral:rRNA from 1 species